rnacentral:rRNA from 1 species
CCUACGGGUGGCAGCAGUGGGGGAUAUUGCACAAUGGGGGGAACCCUGAUGCAGCGACGCCGCGUGGGUGAAGAAGCGCCUCGGCGCGUAAAGCCCUGUCAGCAGGGAAGAAAAUGACGGUACCUGAAGAAGAAGCCCCGGCUAACUACGUGCCAGCAGCCGCGGUAAUACGUAGGGGGCAAGCGUUAUCCGGUUUUACUGGUUUUAACGGGUGCGCAGGCGGGUCUUGAAGAAGGCGGUGAAAUCGCGGGGCUCAACCCCGCCGAGCCGUCGGAACUGGGGGCCUGGAGUGCGGCGGAGGCAUGCGGAAUGCGCGGUGUAGCGGUGAAAUGCAUAGAGAUCGCGCAGAACCCCGAUUGCGAAGGCAGCGUGCCGUGCCGCCACUGACGCUGAGGCACGAAAGCGCGGGGAUCGAACAGGAUUAGAUACCCUUGUAGUC